AUUGAACGCUGGCGGCAGGCUUAACACAUGCAAGUCGAGCGGGGGAAGGUAGCUUGCUACCGGACCUAGCGGCGGACGGGUGAGUAAUGCUUAGGAAUCUGCCUAUUAGUGGGGGACAACAUCUCGAAAGGGAUGCUAAUACCGCAUACGUCCUAUGGGAGAAAGCAGGGGAUCUUCGGACCUUGCGCUAAUAGAUGAGCCUAAGUCGGAUUAGCUAGUUGGUGGGGUUAAGGCCUACCAAGGCGACGAUCUGUAGCGGGUCUGAGAGGAUGAUCCGCCACACUGGGACUGAGACACGGCCCAGACUCCUACGGGAGGCAGCAGUGGGCAAUAUUGGACAAUGGGGGGAACCCUGAUCCAGCCAUGCCGCGUGUGUGAAGAAGGCCUUAUGGUUGUAAAGCACUUUAAGCGAGGAGGAGGCUACUUUAGUUAAUACCUAGAGAUAGUGGACGUUACUCGCAGAAUAAGCACCGGCUAACUCUGUGCCAGCCGCCGCGGUAA
rnacentral:rRNA from 1 species